rnacentral:sRNA from 1 species
GUUACUUGAAAAAUAAGUGAUGCAGUAUCCUAGUCAGUAUGGUCUUUCUGAAGGCGGGCCUAAAAAUCCGUCAAGGGCACAUCGAUGAAGUUCCUGGUGCUGGCUUUUGACGCCCAGUUGGGGGCUGGUACUGGGAGUUAAGGGGAAGGGGCGACCUGCAAUGGCAUGUGGGCAUCGACCCCCUCCCCGUGGAGACCCAAGUGCGUGGGGAGUCGGAAACGGCGAACUAUGGCUUGGUUGUUAACCUGCAUGUGGUAGGAAGCUGCGUGCAGUGUAGCCUGACUUGAAGUGGCACUGGCGGAUUCCUCUGGUACAAUCAUAGAAUACGGGCCCGUAAUCUAUGAUUGUGGGAUGAAACUUUUGCUGCAACAGAGUCUAAGAAAGAUGCGUACUGUUGAGGAAAACUCCUAGGCUGUCUGACACAUGUCAGGGUAGGUCAGGGAUUAAAGUGUGGACUAAGUGGUAAUCUAGCCCUGAGAGCGGUGACGCCUCAGAUAGGGUUUAAAGGGUAACCGCCGGUUUGGCGACAGCCGGUACCGCUAUGGGAAAACCUGCUGGACCUAAGCCACAACAUUUACCUGACCUGCUACCACUUAUUUAAUUAACAUA